UACGAAGGGGGCUAGCGUUGCUCGGAAUCACUGGGCGUAAAGGGUGCGUAGGCGGGUCUUUAAGUCAGGGGUGAAAUCCUGGAGCUCAACUCCAGAACUGCCUUUGAUACUGAAGAUCUUGAGUUCGGGAGAGGUGAGUGGAACUGCGAGUGUAGAGGUGAAAUUCGUAGAUAUUCGCAAGAACACCAGUGGCGAAGGCGGCUCACUGGCCCGAUACUGACGCUGAGACGGCGAAAAGCGUGGGGAGCGAACAGG
rnacentral:rRNA from 1 species